CAACAGGUACAUUGAUGUAGUACUUGUAUGGGCCCUUCCCAAUGAUGAGACUCCAUCGGGCAUCCCAAGUUCUUUCCCAUAGUCAUGUAUUCUCCUUAAAACCAGAAAAGCAAAGGUAUAGAUUAAAAAGGGCAAUGAUAAUGAAACGCAGACAAAAGACCAAAGUGACGAUUACAUACUUUAUGGUCAUGAGUGUACAAUACAUUUUAUUGAUAACUGAUCAGUUGGUAUAGAAAGAAAGCUCUUGGAAUCACCAAGUUAAAAGAAGAGGCUCAUCCAAUUUAGACUCUAACAACAACAUUGUAGAUGGUCAUAGCAUUAAACAGAGGUCCUGGAAACUGCCCAUUGACGGCUAUCAUCUGAAUAAAAAAACAAACUUUAUACAUAAAAACACCAAAUCCCAUGUAAAGCAAACUUUAUCUGAAUUAUACAUAUACGAAGCUAGCACCACAUCAAAAAAGCAAACUUUAUAUAUCCUAAAAGAACCAUUAACUUAAAAUACCUAAUCCCAUGUAAAGUCUCAAUCUUGAGAUUCUAUGGUAAUGGGUUUUAGAACACCAAAAGCGACCUCCUUUAGAAAUUCUCAGCCUCGGGUUAGAAGUUACACCGAAAUAGAACAAAACCCAUCACUGUCCAAAAUCCAAGAGACACUGAACAUCUUUCGAAUGACAGCGAGAAGGCCGUGAGAACGCUAUUAAGACACCAACUUCUAGGGAGAAAGUAAAGUAAGGAACAAAACCAAAAUCUGUUGAGGAACACCGAGAGAGGAAGCUGUGAUCUAAGAGACUUUGAAGUUGUAUAAUGAAUGACUCCAUGUUUCAGCCUCUCAUGGAUAGAACACGCUACUGUACUCUGUACGUCCUUGACCAUUCUUCAAAAUCCAUAGAAAGAAAAAACAGAUUAAAUCAUUUCCUUUGAACCGCAAAAAGUUCAGACGCAACAUUAGAAAGUAUGCAUAACAUAACAUUGUAAUAAAGCAUAUAAUAUAAUGUUCAAAUGAUUAAGUAGAAUUGCAUGUUCACGGAUCAGCAAAUAAAAAGCCUAAAAGAUUUGAAGGUGGAUGAAAUAGCACAUACAUCCAGUGAGCAUCUAACUACUACAGUAAACUAAACAUUGUUUGGGCUAGAUUAAUGUUUGUACAGGAUUCGGUCGAUUAGAAUGAUAACUUAGAAAAUGGGGGGACUAAAGACGUUUUUAUUAGAAUCAACACAGUGGGUUACAAGACUGAUCAAAGGUAAGGAGACAAGAUCAGAGGUUUAAACGACAAGAUCAAAGAGAUGAUUAGGAAACCCUAAAUCUAGCCGCUUGGUAUGUGAUUUGUCCAAAAGUCCCUCUUUCGUUGCCUCCUUCUUCCCUCUUAUAGUGCCCUUCUGCGUGGUGCCCUAAUCGCGCCUAUCCUUUGGGCCUUGUCGCCCAAAGGCCGAGUAUGUGGGCCUUAAUACUGUUUCAUCCAAGCCGAGUAUAGCUGAUCGGCUUAGCUGACCGGCUUAAAGUACUCUGAGGUCGAGCUGACGUCUCUAGCCGCUAAGCCGACUAAGCUUGAUCGACCUUGUCGGGCUAGGGCCUGUUAUGUGAUGGGCCUUGUGGAGGGAUGUAAUCCAUCUCCUACAAUAAGUCCCCCCCAGUUCACUUGUGAGCGGCUUGUCGGUCUCAGUGAAUUUGUGGGUCAGGUUCGUUCAUAUAACAGGGCCUAAUGCCGACGACAGCUCGUUUUACUGGUGUAUGGUUUUAGUCACGUGCCGCGUCUAGUCGCUCCGCGUUACGUCUUCUCACGAUGCGUUGUGUUUUACUCGGGAGGUAAACUCCUCGGAUUAGGAGUCCAGGCGGUCUUUGGAUGGUUAACUCUGUCGAAUUGGUUCGGGCUAGAACCGGAGAUUAAUUUCGGUCCGGUUUCUUGAUUGAAAACCGGUUUUGGCGAGAAACCGAACCGUCGCGAGUAGGUUUUUGGGCAUUUAGGCGGCCUUUGAAGCCCAUUUAGGCCUUUGUAGACCUAAUGAUGACGCUUCGAAGGAUGCGCCUCGUUUUUGCUAUAAAUAGGCGUCUCUCCUUCGCUUUCGUCAUUCUUCUCUGCAAGCUCAGGUAUUCCACUUUCUCUCCCUUCUCUCUACUUUUAUUUUCUCUCUCUAGAUAAGCCUUCCGUAGCAUAGGGUUUUUUGCUAGCGAUCUAGCUGGUUUAGUCGUCCCCCCGAGUAGAAGAGAUAUGGCUUCAGGGAAUCGGCUAUCGCGCGAGGAAAAAGGGAAAGAUAUAGCUACUUCGCCAAGCCCGGCUAGGGAUGCGGACGGGGGUCCGUUGGAGGAUUUCGACAUAAUCCAUCGUGAUGCUCUGCGGGAUACGGAGAACAUGAGCCUUUCCCAGCGCCUUCUGGUCGCUGAUGCCCAUAGACAGUUUCGCGAAGAAAUCGAAGAAAACGUUGAGGGCGAGGAUAGAGAGGCGAGUGGUUCUGAAGCGCCUAGCCUUGUCGUAAGACCUAGGAGACGGGCUCGUCGGAGGGGUUGUAUCGACCAGUCAGGCCGUCUCCCUGCUCCGAGAAGUGUUCCGUUCUACGAAGUAGACUGUCGUCCUGUGAUAUAUCACCCUGGUGGCAUUUUCGAAGAACUACCUUCGCUGCCUCCCGAAGCGUUACGCGACCCGCGAGUUCAGUCGUGGGGAAACGUUUUCAGUUCCUGUUCUUCCAACGAGACCGUGAAGAGAGUGCUAAGAGAGAGUGGUGGUGCUGGAGUCACCUUCCUCAUUCCGUCAAUCGAUCAGCGGCCGUGGUCGCCACCGGUUGGUUACCAGUGCGUGUAUGAAUCUUACUUCAAGGAUCAGACGAAGCUCUGGUUCCCAAUCCCCAGACUGAUCACGUCUUACGCAUUUCGUCGGGAUAUCGCCAUUUCUCAGCUGCUGAACGGGUCGCUGCGCAUAGCCGUCAUGUUGAUGGUUAUGGCAGCGGAGAUGGAUGUUUCGAUGAGCGUGAGGGUGUUUGAGGAGCUGACUUUCACGAAGGCGGAGCCUAACGGGAUCUUCUCGGUAAAGAUGAGAGCGAGUUACAACGUUUUGACUGGUCAUCCCAACAAGACGCAGGAUUGGCAACGCGCAUACUUCUUCAUUAAGUCCGACGAGCAUGCCUUCGAGGAGCCGCCGGGGGACGAUUAUCGCGUUUUAUGGAAUCAGCAAUUUGGUAGAAAUUUGUCUGUUUACUCGUAUUCUGGUCGAUGGUUCUGAUGUUCCCUUUUUCUUUUGCAGUUCGUCAUCCCAAUACAAUUGCCUAUCCAGAGAAAUUCUUCGAAACUGCUCAACUGAUCGCGACGCACAGUCAUCUCAGGUGGCCGGAUCUUAGUCGGGAGUGGAUACGUCGGCAACAAGCUAGGAUCGCUAGAGGUAAAGUUGCCGUUUACCCUAGAGAGAUGCUCUUGAACCUUUUUCAUAGUCUCCGUGUCUGAUUUCUCUUUCUUGUAUAGUUGAUUGGGAAUCGAGACUUCCUUGUGUACUCGGUCCCCGCAAAUCACGUCUCUCCCUAUUUACUCGGAAGCAACAAAAACUCCUUAACCAAGCUAAAAAGAUGGAGGGAGUUCCCGACUUAAGUGCCCUGUUGAAAGGGAAGCUUCAAAUGCUCUCGACGAAAUCGUCUUCUGCCGGUGCCUCAGAGGUCAGGCCUGUUCCCACAGAUGGAGAUGUGAACUCUGAGCCGCCAGCUCAGAGUUCCCCAAAGAAGAAGGCCAAUAGGGCCAAGGCCAAGAACAGGAAUGUCCCUUUGGAAGAGGCACCACCUUCUGCCGAUGUCUCUGAAGUCGCGGCUAAGAAGAAGAAGAAAAAGGAGAGCAAGAAAAGGUCUCGCGAAGAGACUUCUGUUGGGGCUAUGGAGACUCCAACUGCCGCAGGGAAUGAUGGUGCGGAAAGAAACGAUCCAGCCGAUUCUACUCGGGGAUCGCCUGAGGAGCGUCCCAAGAAGAAACUGAAGAAGAAGACAGCGGAAGGCGAUGGGACUUCUGCUCCCGAGAUUCCUUCUAGAAGUGGGGAACCAGCUACCGAAGUCGGAGAUGGCUCACGGGAUGAAUCUCCGUCGAGUAAGGGAGCCCCUUCGUCUUCUGCGAGGGAGACUGGUGCGGGAAGCGGAGGUUCGCUUCCGCGGAAGGCGGGAGGAGGAGUUCACUUCCCGGAUCGCGUAGAAUUCCUUUACGACGAGGCGACUCCGUUGGUUCUGAAUCCACUUCCGUGUGCUGAACUGACUCGUCAGAUUCGUGGCGGGACCAAAGAGUUGCCGCCGGUCGACGACUUAUACUUCAAAAAGGAGUACAUUGACGCGGCUAUGGCGGGCAGACGGGUAAACUCGUUUUCCCCUUAUUUCCCUUUCUCUUUCUUAAAAAUUUUUCUAAGUCUUUUUUGCUUCACGCAGAGUGACGGGAGCAUGAAUUAUCUCGUGGAGAAGUACGACAGCACUUUGAAGCAGACGAUGGUCCAGCUGGGCGCCUCGGAUAAACUCGCACGGACCAGAUUGGGCGUGAUCGAGAGGUUACGCGCCGAGAACAAAAAGGCCAGCGACAAAGCGGCCAAAGAGAAAGAGGUCCUCCGAGUUAAGUUCGAGGAGUUGGAAGACAAGCUGAAGUCUGACCGUCUUGCGAAGAAGGACGCUCUCCGCGAGAAAACUCGCUUAGAGCGAUUGGUCGCUUCCCUUGAGAAGGAGAAGGCUGAGCUCGAGGGAGAGAGGGACGCUGUCGUCGGAACGCUGGUCAAAGAGAGGCAACGCCUGAGGGAUUCCAGGGUUCAGGAGGUUACCCGCGAGAGGAUCAAGGUCCAAACGGCUAUGGCGGACAAGUCUACUCGCUGUAUCGGUAAGAUGAAGGGCUAUCUGGAUCGCCUUAUCGCGCGAGAGAAGGCCAAGAACUUAUAUGGGCAGGCUUCAGGAACCAAAAAAUGCCUUGAGAUGAUUAAAGAUAGCGGGAUCGCGAUUCCGCCGAGUAUGAUCAACAUCUUCUCGGAGCAGGAGAAGAUGUAUGAGGCUGAAGUCGCCAAUCUUUACCUCGAGCCGUUCUCUGAGGAUGAUUAUGCUCUCUCUCCUCUCAGCCUCCCUUCUCGAUUUGUGAAUGAAGAGCUCAUGGGGGUACUCGACCCGUAUGGAUCAAAUGUUGGUCUGAUUGGCCACGAAUCAGCCUCCCAGUUGAUCACUUCCCGCGAGGCGACUGAAGAUCCAGUCGAUGAGCCGAUGGUAGACAUUACUUCUGCUUUGUCGGAGCGUAUCGUCGUUCCCGAAGGAACUACCAUCGAAGAGCGCCCCGACGGGAGCGAUCCCGAGGAGACCGGGGAAGCGAUUCAAACGGAUACGGGGGAUGUAGCCGCUGAAGAUCCGGUCUUGGUUUCUUCAUCUGAGGAGCGGGAAGAGGACGGAGUGGGCGUGGAGGAGAACGGGUCAUCGCCGGCGCUUGUUGAAGAGAUGGUCCCGAACCUGCCAGUUCCAGACCCUUCUGCUCAGGUUGAAGGCCUUGGCGAUCAAGUCGUUGAAGAAGAAACGAUCGAAGCGCUUGACCCGAGUAGGGAUGACCAAGACGUUGUCGUCUGAUCUUGUUGUAUGUUAUAUUUAGGAUGCUUUCAUCGGUGGUCUUGAUAGACCUUGUUGUUGUACUUUAAAACUCUUUCUACUUUGUGUUUCUUGUCAGUAUUUGCAACCCUUAAGCGAUUUCACUUAUCUGUUGUGUUUUGAAACAUCAGAUUUUCAUAUUCUUAAUUUUUGCAAAUAGACAAGUGAUGAACCGGUAAUUGGUUUUACUCGGCUGUCAUCAUGUUUCGUUUUGGAGUUGUCCAAAAGUCGAUAACAAAGAAUUGAGUAUAAGAGUGAAAGGUCCUUCUGUCCGUUUCCUCAGUGACAAUUAAGCAAUCGGGUAGCUAGGCCGUUACAUUUUAGUCGAGAAAAGGCAAAGAUUCACUCUGUUUAGUCGGUUCAAUGCUUAGGCAUAGGUGAACCGUGACUGUUAAGGUCCUGGAGCCAAGUGUCUGAUCAGGACAUAGCUGCGAGCAAAGGAGUGUGAGUGUCCGCGUAUCCUCUGCUGGAGGCACGGGAACCACGAUGUGAAAGUCAUUGUUUAUUCAAUUGAGACCUAGGUAAGGUUUUGACUUUGUUUUUGUUACAGCUGGACCUGUUAAGGCUGCCUACGUACCUCGGUUGAGGAUCAAGCCAUUCGUAGUUCGUUUUUCCCGAGUAAAAGUGACUGUGAGUGGCGCAUUUACUCGGUCGAGUAGAAGUGACCAUGGGGGUGCAUCUACUCUGUUUUUGUUACAGCUGGACCUGUUAAGGCUGCCUACGUACCUCGGUUGAGGAUCAAGCCAUUCGUAGUUCGUUUUUCUCCCGAGUAAAAGUGGCCGUAAGUGGCGCAUUUACUCGGUCGAGUAGAAGUGACCACGGGGUGCAUCUACUCGGUUAUAUAUAUAUAUAUAUAUAUAUAUAUAUAUAUAUAUUUUUAUAUAUUUUUUUUUUUUUUUUUUUUUUUUUUUACUAAGAUACUUCUACGAGUAGAAACGUCGUAGAUGCAUUGAGUUCCAUGAUCGCGGGACUUCUUCUCCGCGCGAGGUUUGGAGCCGGUAUACGCCAGGUUUAACAACUUUGAUGAUUUUGUAUGGUCCUUCCCACCUGGCGCCGAGUUUACCGGCGUUAAGCUCUUUGGUGUUUUCAAACACUUUGCGCAUGACGAGAUCACCGAGUUCUAGAGGUCGGGCCCGGACCUUUUUGUUAUAGUAGCUCUCAAUCUGAUGUUGGUAAUUCUGGAUGCGCAGCAGGGCUUGAUCUCUCCGUUCUUCUAUCUCAUCGAGGGCGUCGAGUAGCAUCUCCUUGUUUAGCUCGACGUAUUGAGGCAUUUUGGAACGUCGGAGGCUUGAAACGUUAACUUCAGCAGGAGCCAUGGCUUCAACACCGUAAGCGAGAGAGAAGGGUGUCGAUUUAGUCGAUCCUCGUGGAGUCGUGCGAUGGCUCCAUAGGACUCCGUCGAGUUCGUCAGCCCAGUGACCUUUUUUGAGGUCUAGACGCUUUUUAAUGCCAUCGAUGAUGAGUUUGUUGGAGGAUUCGGCUUGGCCAUUACCUUGCGGGUAACGUGGAGUGGACGGGCUUAGUCGAAUGUUCCACUUGCUACAGAAUUCCUUAAAGUUGCCUGACAUGAACUGUGACCCGUUGUCGGUGACGAUCUCGUAGGGCAGUCCGUGGCGGCAAAUAAUGUUUUUCCAGACGAAGCCGCGGACUUCUUUGUCUGUGACUUGAGCGUAUGCUUCAGCUUCGAUCCAUUUGGUGAAGUAGUCGGUGAGGACGAGGAUGAAGCGUCUUUGGCGGGAACAAGGGAGUGGUCCUAUGAUGUCCAUCGCCCAUCGCAUGAACGGGUAGGGAGCGGUGGUUGUUCGCAACAGUUCGGUUGGACAAUGGAUGCUGGGUGCGUGCCGUUGGCACUUGUCGCAGCUUCUCGCAUAAGACUCACAAUCGGCGUUCAUUGUUGGCCAGAAGAAACCUAAACUCCUUACUUUUAUUGCUAACGCACGUCCGCCCGAAUGAUUUCCACCGGCGCCUUCAUGCGUUUCCGCCAUAACCCUUGCUGUCUCGUCGCCAUGGAUGCAUUUUAAGAGCACCUUACUCGCAGUCCAUCUAUGCAGUUCAUUGUCGAGAACAACGUAAUGGGCGCUGCGGGUUUUUAGCCGGCGAGCUGCCCAUUUUUCUGCUGGGAGUUCCCCUUUCGAGAGGUAGUUGAUGAAUUCAGUUCUCCAGUCAGGGCCAAACCCAUCGUCGUCUGGAGUGGCGGGUUCAAUGACUUGGGCGAUGAGGGUUUGAUCGGUUAGGACGUCGAUGCUUGGUUUCUCGAUACGAUGUAUCGGGAUGGUUCUUUUCACUUGAUCACGAAGCUUGCUGCCAAGGGCGGCGAGGGCAUCGGCGCAGACGUUCUCUCCUCUCGGAACUUUGAUGAGUUCGAAGAAUUCGAACUCUGCUGCCAGGCUUUGCACUAUUUUGAGAUAGGCGUCCAUUCGAUCGUUGCGGGCGUCGUAGUCGCCACUGAACUGACUGGCGACUAACUGGGAGUCGCAAUAAGCGCUUAGUCGUUUAGCUUUGACGGCUUUUGCUAAGCGGAGUCCUGCAAUCAGAGAUUCAUAUUCUGCCUCGUUGUUUGACGCGGGGAAGCCAAAGCUGAAAGAUUGUCUGAUUAGCUCACCGGUCGGGGACUGCAAUUGGACUCCGGCGCCUGCCCCCUUGUUGGUCGACGAUCCGUCGACGUGCAGUGUCCAGUUUGAGCUUGGGGAUGUGAGAUCUUGCUCUAAUUCCGGGGCCAGUUCGACCAAGAAGUCGGCUAGGACCUGGGAUUUCGCUGCCGUGCGGUUCUUGUAGAUGAUAUCGAGCUCGCCGAGUUCGAUAGCCCACUUUGUGAGUCUGCCAGAUCUGUUAGUGUUCUGGAGUAUUGUCCGGAGAGGCUGAUCAGUCAGUACUUCCACGGAGUGCGACUGGAAAUAUGGUCGUAGUUUUCGCGCUGCUUCAACGACUGCUAAAGCCAUCUUUUCUAGAGUUGGGUAACGCGUCUCUGGUGCUGUCAUGCGUCGGCUCGUAUAGAAGAUGGGCUUUUGCUCGCCGCGGUCUUCUUUUAUCAGAACGCUGCUGACUGCAGCCUGUGAUACUGCGACAUAGAGAGAUAGAACAUCACCGACGUCUGGCUUAGCGAGUACUGGGGGCGUGGUCAGGUACUGUUUGAGUUGAGUGAACGCUUCCUCGCACUUCUCAUCCCAAAUGAACUUUUUAUUUCCUCGCAGGAGAUCAUAGAAUGGCAGGCACUUGUCGGUGGAUCUGGAGAUGAAUCGAUUUAGAGCGGCUAUCCUGCCCGUGAGCCGCUGCACUUCUCUGCUGUUCUUCGGACUCGGGAGGUUUAGAACCGCAGAUAUUUGCUUUGGGUUCGCCUCGAUUCCUCGCUGUGUGACAAUGUAACCAAGGAACUCGCCAGAAGAGACCCCGAACGUGCACUUUGCUGGGUUUAGCUUCAUGCCAUACUUGUUGAGAGUUUCGAAGCAUUCUUGUAGAUGGCGGAGGUGAUCGGUGGCAUGGAGCGACUUAACCAGCAUAUCGUCGAUGUACACUUCCAUGGUGGUACCCAGCUUAUCUGCGAACAUUUUGUUCACAAGCCUUUGGUAGGUUGCUCCGGCGUUCUUCAGGCCGAAUGGCAUGACUUUGUAGCAAUAGGUUCCCCUAUCCGUGAUGAAGGCCGUCUUCUCGCGGUCAUCCGGGUGCAUCAUUAUUUGGUUGUAACCGGAGAAGGCAUCCAUGAAGGUUAGCAUCUCGUUUCCAGCUGUAGACUCGACUAAGCGGUCGAUGUUGGGAAGAGGGUAGCUAUCCUUUGGGCAGGCUUUGUUCAGGUCGGUGAAGUCGACGCAGACGCGCCACUUGCCGUUUUUCUUUUUGACGACUACUGGGUUUGCCAACCAUUCGGGGUAGCGGACCUCGGCAAUCGAACCUGCACCGAGUAACCUGUCGACUUCCUCGUUCACGGCCUUAGACCUAUCGGGGCCGAGCUUACGUCUCUUCUGUCGGAUAGGUUUGAAAGUUGGGUCGACAUUUAGCUCGUGCGUCGUUAUAGUUGGGUCAAUGCCUUUCAUGUCUGCCAUGGACCAAGCGAACGUGGAUACGUUCUGUCUGAGGAAAUCCAGAACUGACUGCUGCAUUUCUUCGGAGAGGUAUGCGCCAACUCUCACGGUGCGGCUCUGGUCGGCGUCAUCAAUAGGUAACUCGAGGACCUCGUUUUCCUGGGAGUAGACUUUUGGGGUUGGAGGGGACACUGAGUUCACGAGUAGCGACGCUCGUUGGAGUUUGACCGUGGCGACUAGGAGAUCCCUAGCGGCCUUUUGGUCCCCACGCAAUGUUUUUAUCUUCCCGUCCGCGCCGGAAAACUUGAUGCACUGAUGGUAGGUGGAAGGGACAGCUUGCAUCGAGUGUAACCAAGGAGUACCGAGUAUAGCGUGAUACGGAGCUUUUGUGCUAACGACGGCGAAUUUGACCGUUCGAGUAACACCGCAUGCACGCACCGGGAGGCGGAUCGUUCCCAAGAUGGUUUCGGAUGACCCGUUAAAUCCUGUUAGCGUUCUGGAGGACGCUUUUAUGUCGUCGAGGUCGACUCCCAUCUUCUGCAGAGUUCCUCGGAAGAUGAGGUCAACGGAACUCCCGGUGUCAAUAAGGAUCUUGGUGACAUCAUACUCUCCAAUUCCGAGGACGACGAGGAGGGGAUCAUUAUGGGGCGCGUGAACACCUUCAGCGUCAUCUGAUGAGAAGGUUAUUGGAGGAUGACUCGACGGUUUACUCGGCCACUUCUGGGACGUCGUGACUUGUCGACGAUAGUCUUUCACGGAACGGACUGAGUCGCCGCUAGGGAAACCCCCCAUGAUGACGUUUAAAGACUGUCCCGUUUGGACUCGCUUGGAGUUCAGUAAGGCGCGGAGGUCUUUUGGUACGCUGGUAUCAGGAGGUGGAAGUUGAGGUUGACCGUUAGCUCGUUCCAACUGUCGUCGUAAGUCUGUUGAUUUUGACUUGUUAAGCUUCACGCGGAGAUCGCUUACUCCGGCAUUGAGUUUGUCUCGGAGGUCGCCGACUGGCCCUUCGUUGUUGUUGCCAACACUUGUCGAGAUGCGCCGAGACUUUCGUGCAUCUAGCAUCGUCCGGAGAUCUCUGCGUGUGGUAUCGCUUCCAUUUUCCGGUGCGAGCCGCCGUUUAAGGCUGUCUCUUAGGUCUCCGGGUACAGGCGAAUCGUCAUUAUCUUCGUCGGACGACAAGGAUUGCUGAGAGAGUAUAACCUCAAUGCGUCUGCGAUUAGCCGGAUGCUCUUCGUCAGCUGAGGAGUCUCCCCCACCGUUAUCCCUUGGGGUAUCUUCCUCGUCGUCUCGUUGCGGAGCGUCGUUUUGUCGACCUCUGCCAGUGGCUUUGCGCUGGGACCUUCGUUCUUUGUUCUUGCUCCAGCUCUUACCGUUCUUUGGUUUGGCUUUCAAUGGCUCAAACUUAAACUCGCCGCUUGCAAGGGACGAGAGGUAAUGCGCGUAGAGAGAUUUUCAUUCUGAGGUAUCGUGUCCUUUGACGUCGUGAUACUUGCAAUGCUUGGUGAGGUCGACGGUCCGGGAAGGUCCUGCUGCUGAUCCGACUCCAGCUGCGGGUUGGGUGGUGCAAACAGAAUCGACUUUUUGGUCGGAUGACUCGAGUUCUCUUACCCACUUGUUCCACCCCUCCCCGCGAACUACGAGAGUGGAGAUUGGUGCGUUAUUCUCGUUCACGACAUACAUGUAACCAUCCUUGGGACCGUUUUUGUCGUUUGGAGCGUGCUGGCGCGGUUCUUGUCGCGCAUUUGCGUUCUUAGCCGCUGGAGCCUUGGGUGCGCUCAUCUUGCUGAGGAUUGCGUUGGUGUCCUCCUCCAUUCGGAUGAAGUUAUCGGAGCGUGCGAUAGCGUCUUGGAGCGACUUGGUUGGAUUCUGGUACAGGUCUUCUCGGAACUUGGAGUGGACCCACAAGGUGUUGCGCAAUGCAUCGAUAGCGAUUCCGUCUGGGAUCUCAAUCUUCGACACUACGGCUUUGAAUUUCUCCAUGUAGUCGCGCAAGCUCUGAUCCUUUUUCUGAUUGAGGUUCCAUAGGCUGGACGCGGUGGCGCUGCGCUUUGUGAACAUGAUGUAUGUCUUGAGAAAAGCUGCUGAUAGGUCGCGGAAACAUCCGAUUGAGUUCUCCUCCAACUGGGAGAACCAAGUCAGGGCUUGCUCGUGAAGAGUCUCGACGAACAGCUGGCAGUAUCCUGCGUCCCUUUCGUCGUCGGGGAGACGAGCUCGCGCCAUCGCGAUGUUAAAAGCGGUCAUAUGUUCUACCGGGUCUCCGCCGGGCUUGUACUCAGGUAGGGGCAGCUUUUCUAUCUUUCCGAGUUGGACGCUAGUUAGCGCGCGAGUAAAAGGAGUGCGCGAGGUUGCGGCGAGUACGCUCUCUAUUUGCGGAGCUGCGCUGGUUACAUGGUGGAUCUUCUCUCCCAUUUGUUGAAGGCUGAGUUUGAGCUCGGCGAGCUCGCGUAUUGUCGUGAGAUCUGAGCCUGCUGGGGGAGCGUCUGCGAGAAAGGCUUCGUUAGGCUCCGAGUCGUCAGAGAUAUGGUCGACUCCGGCUGCCGUAGGAUUUGUGUUGAAGAGGCGGCGGCGUGUCAGCUGGGGACGGCUCGUUUGUCCCUCAGGGGCUGUGAGCGCCGCGACCAACGCAGCGAGUUGGUCGUUGGUUGUCUUUUGGACUUCGUCUUGGCGGGCGAGUCGAGCCAUGACGGAGCUCAUGAAUUCUGAGGUGAUGGGCGGCGCGGCCGCAGGCGUAGGCGUCGGUUCCUCGCCUGGGGCGCCGAAGGCGGCGUCGUCUUGAGCCAUGUAGAUCUAGAACGUUGCUUUAGUCCGCCCCACGGUGGGCGCCAAUUGUUUGUACAGGAUUCGGUCGAUUAGAAUGAUAACUUAGAAAAUGGGGGGACUAAAGACGUUUUUAUUAGAAUCAACACAGUGGGUUACAAGACUGAUCAAAGGUAAGGAGACAAGAUCAGAGGUUUAAACGACAAGAUCAAAGAGAUGAUUAGGAAACCCUAAAUCUAGCCGCUUGGUAUGUGAUUUGUCCAAAAGUCCCUCUUUCGUUGCCUCCUUCUUCCCUCUUAUAGUGCCCUUCUGCGUGGUGCCCUAAUCGCGCCUAUCCUUUGGGCCUUGUCGCCCAAAGGCCGAGUAUGUGGGCCUUAAUACUGUUUCAUCCAAGCCGAGUAUAGCUGAUCGGCUUAGCUGACCGGCUUAAAGUACUCUGAGGUCGAGCUGACGUCUCUAGCCGCUAAGCCGACUAAGCUUGAUCGACCUUGUCGGGCUAGGGCCUGUUAUGUGAUGGGCCUUGUGGAGGGAUGUAAUCCAUCUCCUACAAUUAAGAGGAUGAUGUUCAAGGAAAGAAAGCUUACCUUUUUAUAGUCGCAGUUUCACCGCCUUUCAUGGGGGAAGCUCGCAUUCAAGGUAGAUCGUGGGUGGGUGAAGGAUUUAAUAAGGACUUUAAGAAGAUGCAAAGUAACUGGUAGCUUUCAGAUUUUAAGGAAGAAGAUGAAGCAACGAUCUCAGAACUCGAUUGUUCUCUAUCUCGAACGGCGGAGAUGAAAGCAGGCAAAAACCUAAUAUCAAAACAACGCUAGAACAGGUUUACAGUUAGAGAUACUG
rnacentral:lncRNA from 1 species